UACGGAGGGUGCGAGCGUUGUCCGGAAUCACUGGGCGUAAAGGGCGCGUAGGCGGCGCGGGAAGUCCGUGGUGAAAGCCCGAGGCUCAACUUCGGGUCGGCCAUGGAUACUCCUGGGCUCGAGUACUGGAGAGGAGAUUGGAAUUAUCGGUGUAGCAGUGAAAUGCGUAGAUAUCGUAAGGAAGACAGUGGACGAAGGCGAAUCUCUGGACAGUUACUGACACUGAGGCACGGAAGGCUAAGGGGAGCAAACGGG
rnacentral:rRNA from 1 species